UACAGAGGGGGCAAGCGUUGUUCGGAAUUACUGGGCGUAAAGCGUGCGCAGGCGGUUUUGUAAGACUGUCGUGAAAUCCCCGGGCUCAACCUGGGAAUGGCGAUGGUGACUGCAAGGCUAGAGUUUGGCAGAGGGGGGUAGAAUUCCACGUGUAGCAGUGAAAUGCGUAGAUAUGUGGAGGAACACCGAUGGCGAAGGCAGCCCCCUGGGUCAAAACUGACGCUCAUGCACGAAAGCGUGGGGAGCAAACAGG
rnacentral:rRNA from 1 species